AUGGCUCAGGCAACUAAAGGUCCCGCAGUGAAGCCCAUCUCUCCCACCUCUGUAGAUGACCCGACUAGGGCAGCACACCCAGACUCACUUACAGCCCGGAGCCAUGGAAUUUUACGAAUCAUGAAUCGCCCGGCACAAUGGGUGGUCAUCAUCACACUUCUGAUCUCUUGGUCAAUAGCAGGUGUUGUCAUGUUUGACUUUGUCAGUGACGAUCAGAUUGCAAGCAUCCAAGAUUUCGGCUCUGAUCCAGUGCUAGCAGUGAACAAAGCCAUUGAAGUCAUUGAAAACAGGAUAAAUCAUAUGAAUGACAUGUUUAAUGAUGCUCAAGAGUACGUCACUGAAAUAAUAUUUAAUCCGGUGGAAGCUAUUAGUUCAACUGCUGACUCAUCUGUGUCUUAUCUGUCAGGAAUAUUUAGUGCCGAUGGUAUGUACAUAUGUUCAUUAAUGGCAUUUAAAAAUAAUUUAUAAGAAGUUAAAAACAUUAUUUAGUUUUGACUUGCAUUAUAUUGUUGUUUUUCAAUCCAGGAGAUUUAGGAAUCACUGAAACAGUGAAAUAUGGGGGCACUGUAUUGGAUGAGGCUACAGAAUUGGAUCAGAUCCCCAGUGAGCUACGUAUUCCACUUAUUUGAAGGUACCUGCUUUACUAAUCAUGCUGAAAUAAUUGGUCGAUGUUGUUCUGGGAGCUGACAUGCAAUUAGAGACUCAUUAUGUACAAUAACUUAUGACCAUGAUAAAAAGAAAGUAUUAGUCUAAUUAGCACUAAUACCUGUU
rnacentral:lncRNA from 1 species